AGAGCGAACGCUGGCGGCAGGCUUAACACAUGCAAGUCGAGCGGGCGUAGCAAUACGUCAGCGGCAGACGGGUGAGUAACGCGUGGGAACGUACCUUUUGGUUCGGAACAACCCAGGGAAACUUGGGCUAAUACCGGAUAAGCCCUUACGGGGAAAGAUUUAUCGCCGAAAGAUCGGCCCGCGUCUGAUUAGCUAGUUGGUGAGGUAAUGGCUCACCAAGGCGACGAUCAGUAGCUGGUCUGAGAGGAUGAUCAGCCACAUUGGGACUGAGACACGGCCCAAACUCCUACGGGAGGCAGCAGUGGGGAAUAUUGGACAAUGGGCGCAAGCCUGAUCCAGCCAUGCCGCGUGGAUGAUGAAGGCCUUAGGGUUGUAAAGUCCUUUUAACGGGAAGAUAAUGACGGUACCGUAGAAUAAGCCCGGCUAACUUCGCGCCAGCAGCCGC
rnacentral:rRNA from 1 species